CGUCAAGUCAUCAUGCCCCUUAUGCCCAGGGCUGCAAACACGCUACAAUGGCCGGUACAAAGGGCUGCGAUCCCGCGAGGGUGAGCGAAUCCCACAAAGCCGGUCUCAGUUCGGAUUGGAGUCUGCAACUCGAGCUCAUGAAGUCGGAAUCGCUAGUAAUCGCGGAUCAGCAUGCCGCGAUGAAUACGUUCCCGGGCCUU
rnacentral:rRNA from 1 species